rnacentral:rRNA from 1 species
AUGACCACAUCACAUUGAAACACUGGUUCCCUCAUGAUCACUAAAGUUAAGCAAUGUUGAGCCUGGUCAGUACCUUGAUGUGUGACCACUUGGGGAUACCAGAUGCCA